AGUGAACGCUGGCGGUAGGCCUAACACAUGCCAGUCGAACGGCAGCACAGUAAGAGCUUGCUCUUACGGGUGGCGAGUGGCGGACGGGUGAGGAAUACAUCGGAAUCUACUUUUUCGUGGGGGAUAACGUAGGGAAACUUACGCUAAUACCGCAUACGACCUACGGGUGAAAGCAGGGGAUCUUCGGACCUUGCGCGAUUGAAUGAGCCGAUGUCGGAUUAGCUAGUUGGCGGGGUAAAGGCCCACCAAGGCGACGAUCCGUAGCUGGUCUGAGAGGAUGAUCAGCCACACUGGAACUGAGACACGGUCCAGACUCCUACGGGAGGCAGCAGUGGGGAAUAUUGGACAAUGGGCGCAAGCCUGAUCCAGCCAUACCGCGUGGGUGAAGAAGGCCUUCGGGUUGUAAAGCCCUUUUGUUGGGAAAGAAAAGCAGCAGGUUAAUACCCCGCUGUUCUGACGGUACCCAAAGAAGAAGCACCGGCUAACUUCGUG
rnacentral:rRNA from 1 species